rnacentral:tRNA from 1 species
UCCUGGUGGCUCAGAUGGUAAAGAAUCUGCCUGCAAUGCAGGAAACCUGGAUUCGAUCCCCAGGUCAGGAA